UACAGAGGUCCCAAGCGUUGUUCGGAUUCACUGGGCGUAAAGGGUGCGUAGGCGGUUUGAUAAGUCUGAUGUGAAAUCCCGCAGCUUAACUGCGGAACUGCAUUGGAAACUAUUUGACUAGAGGAAUGGAGGGGAGACUGGAAUACUUGGUGUAGCAGUGAAAUGCGUAGAUAUCAAGUGGAACACCAGUGGCGAAGGCGACUUCCUGGCCUGUUCUUGACGCUGAGGCGCGAAAGCCAGGGGAGCAAACGGG
rnacentral:rRNA from 1 species